UAAAGUUUACAAGGAGGUAUUUUAAGUUUGCAACUUAAAGUUAAAAAGUAGU
rnacentral:tRNA from 1 species